rnacentral:pre_miRNA from 1 species
AGGAGGAACAACCUCAGUUGCGGCGGCCAGCUCUGGAGCCCUGGAUUCAGCUCCCGCAGUAGCCCCGGAGAUCUAGGUCUGCAGGGGCCUGGAGGCUCCGGGGCGGG